UUCCUUUCUCGCUGAGUUAAAGAGGAACCCUGGGUCACUUCAGCCUGUCAUGCCUCUGUCAUCUCCACUCACCCAUGCAGAAGGGGGGCCUUCGGGGAGGAAGCCUGUGCUGUGCAUGGGAGAUUUGUGCAGAAUCCUGCUGCUGUGUAUGACAACACGGGGGUCCCCCUGUGCACUCCCCUGUCUCCAGGGUAGGCCCAGGUGUGGGGGAGCCCAGCUCCCCAUCAGAGGUAAAUUGCAGCCAGCCUCCUUUGGGAAAAAGCAUGGAUUAUUACUGCUGUCAGCUGGGACCAGGCUUGGCUGAAAGGCUGAACUGGGGACCAUGGGAUAGGAGAUUUUAGGGUAGCACCCUGCUGAUUCCUACCGUUGCCUUUUCCUUUUUUCACUUCUUAAAUCCUGAGCUUUACAUUUAAUAAUAACAGCUUCCUUUAUUAAGCUUUUGUAUGCCAGCUUAGUAUUGCAUGAAAUCCUCACAACCCCAGGAGAUGGCUUUGUUGUUACCAUCACUUAACAGAGAUAGACAUGCUGAGAAACUGAAUAAGUACAUGGUGUGGCAGCAGUUUUGUGAUAAUGUCACUUAAUUCUUUCAGUUCCUUCUGAGUUCUGUGCCAAACAUGACAACUCAAUUAGCUCUUUCUUCAGUUGUAUUGAAAAUAAAGAAUUGGAAAGUAUCUGACUUACAAAAUAAAUUGUUAUUCAACCCUUGA